UUGGGGAAACUUUCGAACUUCCCAUUUUGCCCUUGAUAUUGCCCAUGAUUUACAGAGAAAAUAGAAACUUAGAAAGAGACGGAUGGUUCUGGGGUUUGCCGACACAGAGGAAAAGAGAGGAGACGUGGCUAGGGAUGGUUUAGUUUCGCUCUGAUAGAGAGACAGAUGGUUUCAUUUCCAUACAGUGAUAGACAGAGAAAGAGAGGGGAGAAGAGCUUAGGCGACGGGAGCGGAAGAAGGAUGCGAUUUCCAAUCUGAAACUGAAAGAGACGACUGAUUCGAGAGAGAGAGAGAGAUCGAUUACACCGCUUUCAUCUUUCGCUUCUGUGUUUCUUCUCUCCAUAGAGAUAGAGAUAGAGAGAGAGAGAGAGAGCGAAGAAGCAGAGGAAGAAGGGAAAGAAGAAGACAUUCGGGAGAAGACAGAAUAGAGAAGAUUGGAACAAAGCAGUGGAGAUACUAUGAUUUUGGUCCAAAAGGAGUACCUGCACUUAUAAUAUAAUACUGGACUGUGUGAAAUAGAGGCAGAGAGUGGGAGAUAGAGUUGCAGCAUGCCUGUAGAUAAGAGAAGAGAGAGGGAUAUAGAGUUCUUAUUUUGAAAUCGAGCAAAGAAAGCUAAUUAUAUUCUGAAAUAGUGGGAAUUGCAGAAAGGUCAGAGAAGAAACUGAAGGUAAGGAAAAAGGUUAUGCCUGUGUUACCAAUAAUUCGACCAAUAUGUGAUUGUUGAUGGUUUUUGCUUCUGUCCGCCAAAAGGUUAUUAACUAGAGAGAACAAGAUAACCAUGUGGUCUUUAUUUCCUUGCUAUAUUGAAGUCUGGAAGUAUACACAUACAUAUGCAGCUCUGAUACCAAAUGAAUUGAUAUGUUCACUUUAAUUGGCUACAUCUAUUUUGUAAUUACAUUAAUUGAUGUAUAGAUUAGGUUCUGAAGGCAUCCAGUUGACUUCUUGCAUAGAGGAAUUAAAACUUUAGUUUGGAAAUAAGAAUAAUUAUACUUUACGUUUUUGUUUCAAGUCAUUUAGACUGUAUGGUAUCUCAUUCUUAUCAACAACACUUUCUUAUCUAUUUUGUUUAAUUUUGUGCUCCGGAAAUGCACAUGGAUUGAAAUUUUAUGAUUUGUGUAGUUGUUUAUUUAGUUUCUUCUAAUCGAUUGGAAUUUAAUUUGUGCAGUGAAAGUUUUUGUUGUGUUUUUCUUUUGUUAAUUGAAACUUAUUUGAUUCAGUUGUUCAUGUGUGGAAUUUGGUUUUGUU